AAUCUCCCCCAAAAUUCGUCAAAAUUUGCCCAAAAAUUCCUCCAAAAUCCCCCCAAAAUUUCCUCGAAAUUCCCACAAAGUCCCCCCCUAAAAUACACAGAAAAUUUCCUCAGAAUCCCCCCCAAAUUCCCCCAAAUUUCCCCCAAUCCCCUCCCCCUCCUCACAGGUUGCCGUGCUCGCGCCCCCUCCCCAAAUUCUGGGGGGGCUCCGCCGUUGUUGGGAUCAUCUGUGGGGGAGAGGGGGGCGCAGAGACCCCCAAAAAAUCCUGAGGACCCCCCAAACCCCUCCAAAACCCCCCCAAAUUCUCCCAGGACCCCCCCAAAACCCCCCAGGAACCCCCAAACCCCCCAGGGACCCCCAAAAUUCCCUCAGGACUCCCACCAGGGACCCCCCCAAACUCCUCUAGGACCCCCCCAGGAGCCCCCAAACAACCCGAGGACUCCCCAGGGACCCCCAAAAUUCCCCCAGGACCCCCAAAGCCCCCCAGGGACCCCCCUAAAACCCCCAGGACCCCCCCAGGGACCCCCAAAUCUCCCUGGGACCCCCACAAAACCCCCCAGGACACCCCCAGGGACCCCCAUUAGGCCUCAGGGACCCCCAAAAUUCCCCCAGGACCCCCCAACCCCCCCCGGGACCCCCCCACGGACCCGCGCCCCCCCUCCGCCACCGCCGGGUCUCGAACUCGUAGAAUUUCUUCUCGUAGAGUUUUCGGGGGGGCCCUGGGGGGGGGCACGGGGUCAGCCCAGGGCUCCCAGUUCAAACCAGUUACCCCUCCCAGUCCCUCCCAGUCAUCCCCAGCCUCUGCCAGUGCUCUCAGUCCAAACCAGUGUCCCCAGUUACCCCUCCCAGUGCAAACCAGUGCUCCCAGUUACCCCUCCCAUUCCCUCCCAGUACCCCCAUUCCCCUCCCAGUACUCUCCCUGUCCCCCCAGUGUCCCCCCAGUCCCUUCCCAGUCCCCCCAGUCCCCUCCCAGUCCCUCCCAGUCCCUCCCAGUUCCUCCCAGUUCCCCCCUAUCCUCCUCCCAGUCCCCCCAAUCCCCUCCCAGUCCCCUCCCAGUCCCUCCCAGUUCCCCCCAAUCCCCUCCCAGUCCCCCCAGUCCCUCCCAGUCCCCUCCCAGUCCCUCCCAGUCCCCCCCCAAUCCCCUCCCAGUCCCUCCCAGUCUCUCCCAGUGCCCACCCAGGGGCCCGCGCCGGCUCUGGAGUUUCUCCAGCAGCUCCUGGUCCGAGAGGCCCCGAAAACUUUCCAUGGCUGGGGGGGUCCGGGGGGCACUGGGAGUCACUGGGGAGCACUGGGAGUCACUGGGGGGGCACUGGGAGUUACUGGGGAGCACUGGGGGGGCACUGGGAGUCACUGGAGGGGCACUGGGGAGCACUGGGGGGCACUGGGAGUUACUGGGAGUCACUGGGGAGCACUGGGGGGUCCCUGGAGGGGCACUGGGGGGUAACUGGAGGGGCACUGGGGGGCACUGGGAGGUCCCGGGAUGAUCCCCCGUGGGUUUGGAGGUGUUCCGGAGGGGUCCCCCAUCGAUUUUGGGGGUCCCAGAGAGGUCCCACGUGGGUUUGGGGGAUCCCGGGGGGGGGUCCUGAGUUCUCCUCACAGCACUGGGUGGGGGGGGGGGGGAAUCCAGGGGGUCCCCCCUGA
ensembl:lncRNA